GGCCCCGUAGCUCAACUUGGUAGAGCAGACGACUCUUAAUCGCCUGGUUGAAGGUUCGAGUCCUUCCGGGGUCA
rnacentral:tRNA from 1 species